CCUACGGGUGGCAGCAGUGGGGAAUAUUGCACAAUGGGGGAAACCCUGAUGCAGCGACGCCGCGUGAAGGAAGAAGUAUUUCGGUAUGUAAACUUCUAUCAGCAGGGAAGAAAAUGACGGUACCUGACUAAGAAGCCCCGGCUAACUACGUGCCAGCAGCCGCGGUAAUACGUAGGGGGCAAGCGUUAUCCGGAUUUACUGGGUGUAAAGGGAGCGUAGGCGGUUUAGCAAGUCAGAAGUGAAAGCCCGGGGCUCAACUCCGGGACUGCUUUUGAAACUGUUGAACUAGAGUGCAGGAGAGGUAAGUGGAAUUCCUGGUGUAGCGGUGAAAUGCGUAGAUAUUAGGAGGAACACCAGUGGCGAAGGCGGCUUACUGGACUGUAAAUGACGCUGAGGCUCGAAAGCGUGGGGAGCAAACAGGAUUAGAUACCCCUGUAGUC
rnacentral:rRNA from 1 species